GUGCUGGCUUAGACAGCACAUAUAUUAAAAUUGGAACAACAUAGAGAAGAUUAGCAUAGCCCCUGCGAAAAGAUGACACACAAAUUUGCGAGAUGUUCCAUAUUUUU